AAAUAUCCAUCACCUAAAUUUCCAUCACCUAAGCAAAGCAGUCAUUAGGUGAAUCAUCACAUGAUCCUGCCAUUUAGUGAUGGUAGUUCCAGUUGAACUAGUUAGACAAGGAUCUCACGUUUUUCCCGCCUGUCUGACCUCCACUUCAACUCCAUCUAUCUCCUGUCCCAUCUCUAUCCUUUUGGAUGCCCUGCACUCUACCACCCCGCU